CGCAACACGAAGUUAUAAGGUAUGAUUUUGGUGAUAAAGGUGGCCGAGGUAAUAAGGGUGGAAAAGUGAUUGAAAUCACUAUUGAAAUGAGAAUAUGUGAAAGUUGUGAAAUCACUGAUGAGAUAGAAUAAUGUUGAUAGGGGAAAAUGAGAGAUUAUUAAACUUGUUUGGCUUUGGUUGUUCCUUUCAUGUGCAUUUGAUUGUUGAUUCUAUUACUCUUUGUAAUAUGUGUAUUGAUUGAUUUUACUUGGGGAAAAGUUUGUUCAUACAUACUAGUACAAUUCAAAUGUACUGACAUCCCUUUACCGGGGGUACUACAUUCGUGUUAUGAGUGUAGGUGGUUCCAUAGCAGGUACUCCAGUCCACCGACAGUAGCACCUCCUCCACUUCCCGUCAGCUGAAUUGGUGAUCCCCUUUCCUCUCGGGGCCCUGUGUGGCUCACGCUGCUUGUUCUUGCGAAAUCUUAUUUUAGUAUUUGUGUAAGGUAUAGCCGGAGCCUUGUUACCGACAAGUAUUGUAACACUCUUUUGUAUCCCUAGAGGCUCCAUAGAUAGAAAAUGUGGGUUAUAUACUUAUGUAUUUUGUAUUUGGUAGUGUAACUUGUAAACCACACUAAGUAACUAUGCAUGUUAUAUAAAUCUCGUAAGAACAUGUUUAAAUUUGUAAAUGGCUAUUCACUUGGUUAUGGAUAAUGAAAAAGCGGGGUAACACGUGGGAUAGGAAAGGUACCCAGGUCCGCUUGAUUGGGGCUACCCGGUCGAGCACUGAUUAUGCCCCUCGGUUUUGGGGCAUGACAUUAAUGACAUGAGAAAACUGAAAUAACAUAUACAACUUAAGAUUUACUGCAUAAUGAUAUGGAAUUGGAAGAAACAGAAGAAGUAAAACUCAAAGCACAAUUUGUAUUCACUCAGGUUUCCACUCGAAAUAUGUGUUUAGAAUCACUUUCCAUCCAUUUUUUAAAAUAUACCUGGAAAUUAAAACGGAACCAUAAGGGAUGAGGAGUUAACAAAUAGCUGCAAUAGAAUCAGCUUAACAAACCCAUCAAAAGAAUAAUACCCCAAACAGCAACUUAAACCAACUUUUAAACCCAAACUCGAGCCACUUUUACCCAGAUGCACAAUUUUUGGAAAAUUUUCAGAAGUUCUAAACCAACAAUGGGAUUCAGAGAACCAAACAACCAAAACCAAUUUGAGCAAUUUUCAGUAUUUUUGGAAUUUGAAACGGAACUCAGUUGCUUCUGAAAUUUCAGUAUUUUUUUAGCCUUUGUUCAAUCUCUAAACCUCUAAAAUAUAACUUGUGUUUGAAGAAACAAUGCUUUUAUAAAGAGCUUUUAUGGUAGAAGAAAUGAGUUAAGUUUUUGCCUUUUACCCUUUUUCAAAUUUUUAGUUUUGCUCGUUUGUCCUUAGUUUGAAAAUCAGCUUUCAAAAUUAGUCCCAAUCCCAUCUUAUGGGCAACUUCCUAAGUUAGUUACAAGAGAUUCCCUAACCUAAAAUUCCUAAACUAACCUUUAAACCCCUAUUUUUUACUCCUUAAACAAAAUGGGUCAAGCCUGACCCAAGGCUUAAACACAAUGAAUGGGCUGCCUUUUUGAAAAUUGUUCAGAAUUGACCCAAAGCCUAAACAAUAGGUGAUCCAAACUAAAAUUCUAUGAUUUUAUCAAAAGCAGUAGAAAAUAAAUACUUAAAUGAUUUGAAAACUAAAAUUAACUACAUGACUGAUUAAUAACAGAAAUGGACAUGGAAUUAACUAGGUUAUUAUAUCACAAAAGACCUAAUCAAAAUGACUACAAAACUAAAAUAAGAAGACAAAAAUCAAGAUUUUAACAUGGCAUGGAAUAAAGCUAGCAGGUCAACAACAAUUAGAGAGCAAACUUUUAAGAUUUGAAAAUAAAACUAAGAAGCCAACGAAACAAAUAUGAACACAAAAUUAAUCUAAAGGGAAAACCUAGGUUCAGAACUUUCCUCGAAUUUCAGUCAAAAUAAAAACUGAUGAAAGAAAGGAAGAAGAAAAGAAGAGGAAUAAGAGGUGAAUCACACAAAAACGGACGAAAAAAGAGGAAGAAAACUUACCAACUCAAACUCGAACCAAUACUGGACUCCUCGAUUUAAUGAAACUGAUGCUAAUCACUUGUUCUUUGCCAAGAACAAAUGAAGAACAUCGAUUUGCAUUGAAUCAAGCUUUAAACUCGAAAGAAUUGGAAGCCUACGGUCAUGCAUGCCAACAGAUUCAAUGGAAAUUGAUUUUAGGCUUUUAGGGUUUCGAACUCAAAUUCAAUAUUCGAGGGGUUUUGCAAAGAUUCGAACGAGAUUGCGAAAAUGGAAGGCUGUGAGGAUUCUAUGGUGUUAAUUUGGGACUGAUUCGGGGUGGCACCGCCAGUCAGAGAUGGUGGAGAUUUAGGGGCGGUGCUAGGGUUAGGGGUGAUUCUAUGAAGAUGAAGACGAGAAGUGAGGGAGAUAAAAU
rnacentral:lncRNA from 1 species